AUUGAACGCUGGCGGCAGGCCUAACACAUGCAAGUCGAGCGAGCGGCGGACGGGUGAGUAAUGUAUGGGGACUGCCCGAUAGAGGGGGAUAACUACUGGAAACGGUAGCUAAUACCGCAUACUAUCGGAUAACCCAUAUGGGAUUAGCUAGUAGGUGAGGUAAUGGCUCACCUAGGCGACGAUACCUAGCUGGUCUGAGAGGAGGAUCAGCCACACUGUGACUGAGACACGGCCCAGACUCCUACGAAGGCAGCAGUGGGGAAUAUUGCACAAUGGGCGCAAUCCUGAGCCAGCCAUCACGCGUGUAUGAUGAAGGCCUGCGGGUUGUAAAGUACUUUUGGCAGAGAAGCGGUAUCUGCAGAAUAAGCACCGGCUAACUACGUGCCAGCAGCCGCGGUAAUAC
rnacentral:rRNA from 1 species